GGCUGCAUGAAGCUGGAAUCGCUAGUAAUCGCGGAUCAGAAUGCCGCGGUGAAUACGUUCCCGGGUCUUGUACACACCGCCCGUCACACCAUGGGAGUCGGGAAUGCCCGAAGUCAGUGACCCAACCGCAAGGAGGGAGCUGCCGAAGGCAGGCUUGAUAACUGGGGUGAAGUCGUAACAAGGUAGC
rnacentral:rRNA from 1 species